rnacentral:rRNA from 1 species
AUUGAACGCUGGCGGCAGGCCUAACACAUGCAAGUCGAACGGUAACAGGAAGAAGCUUGCUUCUUUGCUGACGAGUGGCGGACGGGUGAGAAAUGUCUGGGAAACUGCCUGAUGGAGGGGGAUAACUACUGGAAACGGUAGCUAAUACCGCAUAACGUCGCAAGACCAAAGAGGGGGACUUACGGGCCUCUUGCCAUUGGAUGUGCCCAGAUGGGAUUAGCUAGUAGGUGGGGUAACGGCUCACCUAGGCGACGAUCCCUAGCUGGUCUGAGAGGAUGACCAGCCACACUGGAACUGAGACACGGUCCAGACUCCUACGGGAGGCAGCAGUGGGGAAUAUUGCACAAUGGGCGCAAGCCUGAUGCAGCCAUGCCGCGUGUAUGAAGAAGGCCUUCGGGUUGUAAAGUACUUUCAGCGGGGAGGAAGGGAGUAAAGUUAAUACCUUGGCUCAUUGACGUUACCCGCAGAAGAAGCACCGGCUAACUCCGUG